UGCAUCGGCCGGGAAUCGGCCCGCCCGCGUGGCAGGCGAGCAUUCUACCACUGAACCACCGAUGG